UGGGGAAUAUUGGGCAAUGGAGGAAACUCUGACCCAGCGACGCCGCGUGCGGGAUGAAGGCCUUCGGGUUGUAAACCGCUUUCAGUAGGGAAGAAGCGAAAGUGACGGUACCUACAGAAGAAGCACCGGCUAACUAUGUGCCAGCAGCCGCGGUAAUACGUAGGUGGCGAGCGUUGCCCGGAAUUAUUGGGCGUAAAGCGCGCGCAGGUGGGAUCUUAAGUCUGUUCUCAAAGUUCGGAGCUUAACUCCGUGAUGGGAUGGAAACUGGGAUUCUUGAGUACCGGAGAGGAAAGCGGAAUUCCCCGUGUAGCGGUGAAAUGCGUAGAUAUGCGGAGGAACACCGAUGGCGAAGGCAGCCCCCUGGGAUAAUACUGACGCUCAUGCACGAAAGCGUGGGGAGCAAACAGG
rnacentral:rRNA from 1 species